UUCCGUGGUAACAAUCUCAGCCAAUGCUACGUCUAUGCUUAGUAUUUCGCCUUGUAGUAACUUUGUUUAUGCUCCUUUGCAGACUAACAAUCUGAACCUUGGAUCUAUGUCACUGGAUUACUGACCUUUGUAUCUAAGUACUUCUGAAUGAACUAUGUUUUGAGGACUUCGUUUCCAAGCACUUUAUUUGUUUGGGUCAUCGUUUCAAGCUGACAGUCUCCCUGCUUCCUUCGUCUCCAGGAUCAAGAACUGAGCAUACCCUGUUCACCCUCCAACGCAAGUAUCAGCACAAAGGAAUUAACUCUCACACCACUAAGCUCAUCAAGGAGCAUCUAAGAGACCAGCUGAACAAACUCAACCUCGACAACUCGGAUCCCAAAUCCCUCAACCCCUGGCGACCUGACCACACUCACUCAUGACUCAUUCUAAAUAACUGUUGUGACUCUUCGCACCACAAACAUCUCUGGAGCAAUAGCUUGGGAGAGAAGAGAACACCAGUCAGAUUGCUGUUUAAGAUCGGACACGCACGGGUAGAACGACGACCAAUCUGGGCCGACUGGGAGUUUAAAUAUUCUGCUUUGGUUUAAACUCGGUGACAGCACUGUGAGGCAAGAGGUUACCACUUCAAAGACAAUCUCAACUGGCUUUAAAGAAGAGAAGAAGAAGGUUGUCUGCUCAACUCCCUGUGGAAAAAGAGAGUACGGAGUGCACUCUCUCCUAACAGAGAUAUAUGAGGUUUGUUCCAUUUCUCCGCUUUGGCGUAAUGGCAGCUGUUUAUCCACAGAGAACCACCAGAUAACACAUCUCUCCAUCUUUUGCUGUCAUCCCUUCUUCUUUCUCGUUUCUUCUUCUUAAUUCGUCCCCCUGCUUGGAUGCUUUCUACUGUCCUCUGCUCACUGCUGUGUUUAGUUCACUUCUUGACAAGGCCCUACACUCAGCUAGUUGCUAAAUGAAUAAUACAUGCAUGUUCUAGCUGCACUGUAAGGCAGAGGAGAGGAGAGGAGAGGAGAGACAAAGGAAGCGUAUAGAGGAUGCUUGUUUUUUGUGUGUGCCAGUGACUGCUUAGUGUUGAAACCCCAGCAUGGAAAGGCCAAAGAACUUUAAAUCCAGUCUUUGCAGCCUGUACAUUUGGAGGCGUCUGCAGCUGCCACUCAAACGCAUGCUUUCUGUUAGUCCCUCUGCAAAAUUAGGAGGUUGUUUGUGAGAUUCCCACUUGAGUGAAAUACAGGUCUUGAAGCAGAAUGAUAGAAUGAAAUGAUAGAGCUUUGAUUUCCAAGAUUUGUGUUUGUGUGUGUGUGUGUGUGUGUGUGUGUGUGUGUGUGUGUGUGCGCGUGUGCGGUCUGUGAGGUCUUACUAUUUGUUUCGAGCAUUACAAGUCCCCCCUUGACCCAGUAGAACAAGGGAUGGCCUACAUUUUAUCAACUGCUUUCAUUCAGUUUUGAUGGAGAUCAAAGCAGCACCCCAGCAGCCAGCAGAGAAUGCAUGCAUUAUCAAUCACGUCUGUGGCUUUUUUUUUGUACAGGAAAAUAUAUUGUAGAGAUCAAACGAAGAGGGUCAUCAAAGGCGAAAUCAUCACAAACCAUAGGGCAUCGAUUUUAUAUGUAUAAGUUGGAGUACAAAGAAAUCCAAAAGCCGUGUUAAUUGUAUUCAGAUCCAUCCAGCGUGUAUGUUUGUGACAAAUGAAAUAAAACAUAAAUAAUUUCCGCAAUCUAUCCUCGGGCUUUAGAAUUAGAAGUGCGCUGCUGUAUGCUGCGCACCUCUGAGAGCUUUUUUGUUCAUCUUCACUCCCUCUUCCUCUCUGUUUCUACCCUUCUAAAGACAAGAAAUUUCUGGUAUGAACAUGGCGCCUUAUCUCAAAGGACACAUGCAGAGUCAAAUGAUUUGCCUCUGCCUCUGAACUGCCUCCACUUUUAUUAGGGGAAAUGGAACAAAUGGAUGGGAGCAGCAGGGGUCCAAGUUUGUAGAAAUAAGUGAGGCAGUCUGGUUUUUAAAACAUCUUUAGAGUGGGGUUUUAUAGUGGAACAAGUGGGGCCCCGGUUGUUGAUUAUGAUGCAGGUUGAAAAGAAGUUUACUUUGAUGGCAGGUAAAUGACUAUCAGCUAAAAAGUGGACCUAACUAGCUCAGUUGCAGACUCACAUAAACACUCUCAAACUCUAUUGUUAGACAGAUAAAGCAUUUCCAUAGCCACUCUUUAACCUCAAUACACAUAGCUGUGCCAGAUUUGUGUCUUUGCAUCUUUCUCUCAAACAUCUCCCAACACAGUAACACUCCAUAAUUUAACACCUCGUGCUGUCAUUUUUACCAUCAAUUUAACUGUUGUUUGGGGAUGUAGCAUUACAAACAAAGCUAGGAUACUCCCCCUUCAUGUAUAGUUCUUGUAUGUAUGUUAUUAACAUUUUAUCUGCUUAAGCGACACAAAGUAGCACAUUAUGAUGAAGUGGGACGAUAAGGAUAUAUGGUGUUGAAAUCUGAAAAGCAAGGUGUCAUUGAGUCAAUACUGUGUAGAAGUCUGCAUCAAUUUUUAACUCUUGCCAAACAUUUCCAAUUGGAUUUAGAUUUCGUCUUUGACUGUACUAUUUUGGCAUAUAAGUAUACAGCUAUGUGAACCAUUUCAUCUUAGCUCUAGCUAUCUUAACGACUGAAAGGUGAACCUCUGCUCCAACUCUCAAGUGUUUUGAAGCCUCUAACAGGUUUCCUACCAGUAUUGUCCUUUUUUUUUUUUUUACCAAUUAGCAGUAUAAACUGAACUUGACUGCAUUGUUUUGUAACUACAACCAAAUUGGAUUGUAUGUAAUUGACUCUGUGAUUGGAUUGCAUGGACUGUAUACUUCUUUAUAUAAAUUGGAUAUGUUUAUUUUC